CCUUUUGUGAGGAAAGUCCGGGCUGCGCAGGGCAGGAUAACGGAUAACGUCCGCCGGAGGCGACUCCAGGAAAAGUGCAACAGAGAUAUACCGCCGUGGAUUCCCGCGGUAAGGGUGGAAAGGCGAGGUAAGAGCUCACCAGUCCUGCAGGUAACUGUGGGACUCUGUAAACUCUAUCCGCAGCAACACCGUGGAGGGACAUUGAGGAUUUGCCCGAUCCGUCCCGAGGAGGUGGCUUGAGGCGUGUGGUAACAUGCGUCCCAGAUAGAUGGCUGUUCCAAUGACAGAACCCGGCUUACUCUUU
rnacentral:RNase_P_RNA from 1 species